CUUUGAUUUGACUCUCUUAGAAAUAAAAUAUCAUAUCUUUUUUUUUCCCCAUGUAAAGUCAAAUGUUACAAGUGUAUGGUGUGUAAUACUGUGUGUACAGUACGUGUGUGUACUGUGGGGAUACUAAUAGUAAAAUUUGUGCAGUGGUUUCAGUCAUUUUUGGUGAAUUACUAAGUUGAUCCUUCUUAGAAUUUGUUAUGGAGUCAAUGUGCUAUUUAGCAAUGAAAGGCUGUGUGUGCGUGUUUGUGUGUGUUUGUGUGUGUGUGUGUGUGUGUGUGUGUGUGUGUGUGUUUGGGGAGGGGGUGAUGGUGAGUUACUGGCCCUAGAACAGCUGGAUACAGUGUUGCCAGAGUGUUAAAAAUGGCACGUAAUCCAUGGGUUCCAGUAAUGCAGUGCUGUAGCGGACAUCGUUUAGCAAUCCACUCAAUUAAUACAACAUAUUCAGCUCAUUGCUUAAUUAUAAAUGACAUUUUCUAAGCUAGCUUUAGUAAAAAGAUGAACACAAUUCUGUUAGAUGGCUAUGCAGCCAGGAGUUUGGACCUAAAGUGAAAAAAGUUAACAUAUUAACCCUUUCAUUUAUACAUGCCCAGCAGGAUUGUUUUUUUGUUUUUUUUUGUAGUGAAAUCUCAUGUCAUCUCAUAUUAAUUACUUUAGUUGAAUGUAGUUACGUUUUUCAAAAGUGAUUUUGUUUCUGUCGUAUGGUGAGGACAAGAAUUUGAGGAGGGCUAAAUGUAGUAAAAGAUGAACUUGAACAUUUUAUUGUAAUGCUACACCAACAAGCACAUUAAUAAAAAUCUGAUUGUUUGAAAAAUUAAUCAACACCUUCGGACUAAUCAGAUGUGAGCUUUGAGGUAGAAUAAUGAAUAAUACUCAUGAAGAUACCCUUUUUAUUCUGUUUUCUAUCCCUCUGUUUUGUGGUGCUGGAAACGUUCAUAAUAAUGUAACUAUGUAUAUUGCAAACAAAUUUCUCAUUCUCCUCUGAAAAGGGGUUGUGGUAACAGGUUAAACGAUACCUCACCUUUCUGCAUAAUUCUGUGUAUAUAUUUAAAAUGUCUACUUGUCAUCGUUCUGUACCUAUGAACACAUAAAUACUCACUGAUAAAGAAAUUGACUGUCUCAAUCUGUCAGAAUAGCUGACUGCAUGGCAGUAAUGUAUUGAUAGAUUUUGCAUUAUUAUGAUGAUGCAUCUAUGUUAUAAAACACAAAAGAAACACUAUUUACAAAACUGAUGCAGAUGAUUGAGAAAAUGUUCAUCAUUUUUUUUUAAUGCUGGCCAAUCUGGCAACACUAACACACCAGUCCACCCUGUUUUUCAAUAUUGAUUUACUGGAGUUCGUUGUUCACCAUUUUAAUGACCCACUUGACUGUGUGUUUUUGAGGCAAAAACCUACAGGUUUUGUGUUCAUAGUAUGAUUUUCUUUCUCGUCUUUUUUCACCCAUGUCUUAAUGGGUGUAAAGCCUGUGCCUCUCCCAAACACAGUUUCAUUUUGCAUUCCACAACUUUGAAACCAGAACAUAUGGUUUUCAUCAAAGCUCCCUGUUGUUCCCUCUCUCAGUGUAUCUUUUUCUCCUUGGAUUGGUUCCAGUAUCCACUCACUUCCUGUGCAGAAAUCUCCAGUGAAAGAAUAAAUACACUUCAGUUGCUUCAUAAAACAGUAGUAAUUUUGUCUUGCUAUUCUUUCGUAAAUUCACUGUAAAAUAGUACUUGUAAACUGAAAGGCUUAUGUUGGAGCAUUUUUAAGAAGCUGCAUCAUUAUAAAUGUCACUUGUGGCCCCUGCAGUGUGCAUUCCACCAGUAAAAAGAAUUUGUUCCACUCUUCCCUCCCUUCACAAAAUUGUCUUGCAGAAACCAAUUGUAAUACUUUCAUCUGCAUCAACAAUGAGGACAACAUAUAAUGUUAUGUCUGCAUCUAAGUGAAUAAAGCCUAGGACUGUUCAUGCUGCAAAUGGGUCUGAUUCGUGGAGAUUCCUACAGAUAUGUGACCUCAUGUUUUAGCCAGAGCUUCUGUAUACUGUAAUCUGAAGAUAUGUCCAUAUGUCCAGCCUAUCCAAUAAGAUUCCAGAAUUCAAGCCUGCUGUGGAAUAUGGCUCAAAUAUCAGAAAGUUAGGCCAUUAUUCCACGUACCACCUUGCUUACAGUCAAUAUUUAACUGUUCCUAUAUGGAAUUAUACAGUGUGUAAAUGAAAAUAAGUUUUACAAUUUAACACAUUAAAGUUAAAAUGAAUGCUGAUUCAGAAGAAGAAGAGACUGAGCAAUAGUUUAUCAACUGUAUUUUUCCUAUUUUGCUGAUCUCCCUUUCUACUGAUUUACAACCAGCACCAUUAAUCUAUAUACAUAUCCUCAGUCCAAUAAGCCAAAACGUCUAUACUUAGUCUUAUUAUGCACUGUUCUUUCCUAUUUAAAUUACAAUUGUUACUAUUACUGAAUAUUACCAAAACUCUUGACCUGUAUUUGGAUGAGUGUAUGCAUUGCACCGUUAUUUGUAUAGCUGUAAACCUACAGUUGGAACAAUCUGGAAGAACAAAACAUUUAGCAUUAUUGGCACAAAUUUAAAUAAGUACAGAAUGUUUGAGAACCAACACACACACACACACACACACACACACACACACACACACACACACACACACACACACACACACACACACACACACACACACACAGAAAUGUGUA